rnacentral:rRNA from 1 species
UGGGGAAUUUUGGACAAUGGGCGAAAGCCUGAUCCAGCAAUGCCGCGUGUGUGAAGAAGGCCUUCGGGUUGUAAAGUACUUUUGUCCGGAAAGAAAUCCUUGGCUCUAAUACAGUCGGGGGAUGACGGUACCGGAAGAAUAAGCACCGGCUAACUACGUGCCAGCAGCCGCGGUAAUACGUAGGGUGCAAGCGUUAAUCGGAAUUACUGGGCGUAAAGCGUGCGCAGGCGGUUUGCUAAGACCGAUGUGAAAUCCCCGGGCUCAACCUGGGAACUGCAUUGGUGACUGGCAGGCUAGAGUAUGGCAGAGGGGGGUAGAAUUCCACGUGUAGCAGUGAAAUGCGUAGAGAUGUGGAGGAAUACCGAUGGCGAAGGCAGCCCCCUGGGCCAAUACUGACGCUCAUGCACGAAAGCGUGGGGAGCAAACAGGAUUAGAUACCCUGGUAGUCCACGCCCUAAACGAUGUCAACUAGUUGUUGGGGAUUCAUUUCCUUAGUAACGUAGCUAACGCGUGAAGUUGACCGCCUGGGGAGUACGGUCGCAAGAUUAAAACUCAAAUGAAUUGACGGGGUCAUAGCUGUUUCCU